AAUAGAUACCCAGGUAGUCCACGCCGUAAACGAUGAGUGCUAAGUGUUAGGGGGUUUCCGCCCCUUAGUGCUGCAGCUAACGCAUUAAGCACUCCGCCUGGGGAGUACGGUCGCAAGACUGAAACUCAAAGGAAUUGACGGGGGCCCGCACAAGCGGUGGAGCAUGUGGUUUAAUUCGAAGCAACGCGAAGAACCUUACCAGGUCUUGACAUCCCGUUGACCGCUAUGGAGACAUAGCUUUCCCUUCGGGGACAGCGGUGACAGGUGGUGCAUGGUUGUCGUCAGCUCGUGUCGUGAGAUGUUGGGUUAAGUCCCGCAACGAGCGCAACCCUUGUCCUUAGUUGCCAUCAUUCAGUUGGGCACUCUAAGGAGACUGCCGGCUAAAAGUCGGAGGAAGGUGGGGAUGACGUCAAAUCAUCAUGCCCCUUAUGACCUGGGCUACACACGUGCUACAAUGGGCGGUACAAACGGUUGCGAAGUCGCGAGAUGGAGCUAAUCCGAGAAAACCGUUCUCAGUUCGGAUUGCAGGCUGCAACG
rnacentral:rRNA from 1 species